CAUGGAGGGUGAGAAUCCCGUUCAUGGUUAAUCUUAAGGAAGCUCUAUGAUACGUUUUCCAAGAGUCGAGUUGUUUGGGAUUGCAGCUCAAAAUGGGAGGUAAAUUUCUCCUAAGGCUAGAUAUUGGCGAGAGACCGAUAGCGAACAAGUACCGUGAGGGAAAGAUGAAAAGAACUUUGAAAAGAGAGUUAAACAGUACGUGAAAUUGUUGAAAGGGAAACGAUUGAAGUCAGUCAUACCAACGGGAAAUCAACCUUUUGAGCUCGGUCUCGUGGGUUUUGAAGAGUUUCAAAGCCUUCGGAUCCGCGGGAUUGGGAUCUCUUGGUGUACUUUUUCGACCGGUUAGUCUACAUCGGUUUUGAAUGUCAUAAAAUGACUGGAGGAAUGUAGCUUCGAUCUCGUAUUGAAGUGUUAUAGCCUUUGGUAGAUGUGAUGUUUGAGACCGAGGAUUGCAACGGAUACCCUUCAGGGCUAUUCGUCUGAUCUCUGAUACGUUGCCCUGAUGUUGAAAGCUUGCUUAUGAUGUUAGGGUAUUACGGUCAAAAGGUUAGAACGAAUUACAUUCGUUAAGGAUGUUGACGUAAUGG
rnacentral:rRNA from 1 species